ACGGGAGGCAGCAGUGAGGAAUAUUGGUCAAUGGGCGAGAGCCUGAACCAGCCAAGUAGCGUGUAGGAAGACUGCCCUAUGGGUUGUAAACUGCUUUUGUGCGGGAAUAAAAGAUGCCACGUGUGGCAUGUUGCAUGUACCGCUACGAAUAAGGACCGGCUAAUUCCGUGCCAGCAGCCGCGGUAAUACGGAAGGUCAGAGCGUUAUCCGGAUUUAUUGGGUUUAAAGGGUGCGUAGGCGGCAUGUCAAGUCAGCCGUUAAAGUGCGGGGCUCAACCCCGUGUUGCGGUUGAAACUGGCGCGCUUGAGUGCGGGAGAGGAAGAUGGAAUUCGUGGUGUAGCGGUGAAAUGCAUAGAUAUCACGAAGAACUCCGAUUGCGAAGGCAGUCUUCUGGUCCGUAACUGACGCUGAUGCACGAAGGUGCGGGUAUCAAACAGGAUUAGAUACCCUGGUA
rnacentral:rRNA from 1 species